GAUGGUUUCUUGCUUAUCCUAAGAGCAAGUGGUGCGGAUGGGGUUCAUACUCCCGCCCUGUUUCUUGCUUCAGAUAAAGAGCAAGUGGCGUGCAUGAAA
rnacentral:ncRNA from 1 species